UGGGGAAUCUUCCGCAAUGGACGAAAGUCUGACGGAGCAACGCCGCGUGAGUGAAGAAGGCCUUCGGGUUGUAAAGCUCUGUUAUUAGGGACGAACGUUCUAUGUGUAAACAAUGCAUAGAAGUGACGGUACCUAAGGAGGAAGCCACGGCUAACUACGUGCCAGCAGCCGCGGUAAUACGUAGGUGGCAAGCGUUGUCCGGAAUUAUUGGGCGUAAAGCGCGCGCAGGUGGGCUAGUCAGUCUCAUGUAAAAGUGCGGGGCUCAACCCCGUAGAGCGUGAGAAACUGCUAAUCUUGAGUGCCGGAGAGGAAAGCGGAAUUCCCAGUGUAGCGGUGAAAUGCGUAGAUAUUGGGAGGAACACCAGUGGCGAAGGCGGCUUUCUGGACGGUGUCUGACACUGAGGCGCGAAAGCCAGGGGAGCGAACG
rnacentral:rRNA from 1 species